UUUCCUCUUUUUAAAUCCAUUGUGUUAGCCUGUGUCCUUUUACUGUUGAGUAGAGGACAUUAAUGCUUAAAGUUAUUAAUGAGAUGUUGCGGAAGCAGGGUUUUUUUGCUUGCAUGUUUUUUGGUUUUGUGUUUUCGAUUGGGAUGUUUGAGAAGGUAUGUGAGUAUUACUUCUCUUCAGUGGGGUGCAUGUUUUUUUUGUUUGUAUUUUUUGUUUUUGUUUUCUGGGGAGCUGUUGGAGUAUGCAUGUAAAUGUGAGAUACUUUCUGUACUUUAUGCUGUGUAAUUAUUAAUUUCUAGUGGGAGGCAGGGAUGGUUCAAUUUCUGAAAAUCCAUCAAUAUAAUUCACUAUAAAAUGAAACUGAAAGAGAAAAAUCACAUGAUAAUCUCAUUAUAUGCUGAAAAAGCUUGCAAAAAUAUUCCAACACCCAUUCAUGUUAAAAGCAUGAGACCAAUCAGGGAUACGAUUCCUAUGCAGAAACAUAAUAGAGGCAAUGGACAGCAGGCCGGUACCCAACAUCAAUCUAAAGGGAAAGAAACGUAAAGCAAUUCCAUUAAAUCAAGGACAAUGUAAGGCUGCCCACUCUCCCUAUUCUUUAUAGUAUUUGAAAUUCUAUCCAGGGUAAAAGCAUAGUUCAAUAUUGAUUCUGACAUGGAGUAUGGCCAAGGCCUGUGAAGGAGGAAUGGCACACAGCUUUAGAACUCCUGGGGUAUGGCCCACUCUUCAGCACAGUCUCCUUGGACCUUGGUGAGUCAUGAACCCCACGAGAACUUCCCACAGAGUGUCAUUCAGUUAUUGCAAUCAUUCUCUCUUAAUCUAAGAAGUGCAUGAAAAUCCUCAUGGAGCUUCCCACCACUCAGAGGGCAGUGCCAUUGGCAUUUGCAAUAACCGUGGUCCAGGUCUUUUAGCAAUUGCCCCUGGGGUAGAUCAGUGCUUCUAUCGUUGACCAAGGAAAUGUAGAAUUGUCACAACCCGUAAAAAGGACCACAACCCUUAAAAAGCAUUUGGAAAAAUAAAAUUGAUUGUGAAGCUGGCUAAGAUCUUUUCCCUACUGACUCUGUUAUAAAAAACAAUGUAUGAAACAAUUGGUAGUUCAGAAAGGCUGGGACCUUUUAAGGUCAGGGAUCAAGAACAAUGGCAGCACAGACUAAUGGUGUGACUGUCACAAAGGCUGGAAUGUUGAUGACUGAUUUCUGAACCAGUUUUACCCUCUGCUUCCUGAUAGGAUUUAAUAAUGAUUCCCAAUUACAGAUGUGCAUUCUGAUCAUUUGAAGCAGAUGACAUUUUUAUACAGAUGUUUAUAUUUCUGUUUUUUUUAAAGAUUCUUAUAAGAGUAUUUUUGAAGAUAAAUAAUACAAUACUUAACCAUUUCUCUGUAAAUUCAAAUUGCUUACUUAUGAAGUUAUGUUGGCCUUGGGAAUAAUUUGUUUUCUUUAGGUGACUAUGUAAUAUUUGUUCUAAUACUGUAUUGGGUAUCACUUUUUCAACACUAUGCAAGAGAAGAAAACUAAAACAUGAUCACACUUUUUGUAAUACAAUAUUCAAUAAAUUAAUGGUCUAUAGGGAAAAUACUGCCCAUUGGGAAACAGAGAAAACCUAGAAAAUUUAACUGUAUGUCACUCGAAUGAACCUGGGAAUAAAAAUGUUAUGUAGAAGAUUCUCAUAUACUUUAUGUUCCUAAGUGAUUUCUACCCAUGUCAAGUCCCUGACUAAAUAUCUUCAUUCAGAGCAUGUAACCACUAAUGAAGCCAAGAGAAUUCUCUAGAUUUAGAGAGAUGUAGUAUGUAAUGGUUUUGACUGUUUCACAAGAGACUCUUCUGGAAAAGGCACUCUUGAACCUGGUCAAUGUAAGGAAAUAUGUUCAGCAUGUAGGCCAUAGCAAGUCUCAGUGACAUCAUCAUUAGGCCCUCCAUUAAAAAUCUCUUGUAUCCUGGAGAGCCCUAGUUUCUUCUGUGAUGUCACAAGUGUUGUGACAUCAUCUGCCUCUUAGAUAUUCCAUCAGUACCUCUAGAGUUUACUAAUUGAUCUGUAAUUCAGAAUAAACAGCCAUUUGGGAGAGAAAAAAAGAAGAUGAAGAGAUCAGAGAUGGGGAGAAGGAACCUGGCCUUCUGUCUUGGUAUAAAAAAGAAGAAAUAUGUGGUCCAUGGUAAAGCUAUGUGAGACCUUAGUAGGGGUUGAGUGGGUUCUCUUGAGAGACAGCCUUGACCUGAGCCUUCCACAUAUGGGAAUCAGGAGCUGGGAAACUCUCAGAAGCAUCUGGAGUUUCCUGAAUAUUAUGGUUCCUUGAAGUCAGAGAGUUUCUAUCAUUAAUUACUUUAUUUCAAAAGUCAAGUGUUGGGAAGGGCACAGUUUUCUUUCUGAGAGCUCAUGGCUAUUAUUCUUUUUGACAAGAAGAAAAAGGACCUAAGGAAGAAGGGAAAAACAAGUAUUUUGUCCCUAGCUCAAAGUAAACUCCUCCAUACUAUUUUAUCUAUUGUUUAGUUUGUGUCUGACACUGAUAUCGGGAAAGAGAAGUGUUUGUAGUUGAGACUUCACCAUCUCAGUCUUUCCAAUAUUAUUUCUCUCACUACCAUUCCCUGACAGUGACCCAUUAGAUUUCUGUGUCAAGAGCUGUGUUUAGCUGUCAGUUUUCUUUUCUUUUAUUACUUAUUUUUUUAAUUUUUACAAAUUUAUUUGUCUUUUUAAAUGUUUAUUUCUCUAUUUACAAUUAUAAUAUUAUUCCCUUUAAGAGUUUCCUCCCAUAAGAUCCCUAACCGGUCCUUCUCCACUUCUUCUAUAACCCCCCCCCCUUACUGUCCCUUCAAAUUCUCUUUAACUGUGAAUCAAACCAAGGGAAGACCAAGGGCUUCUUCUUCCACUGGUGCCGAACAAGGCCAUUCUCUGCAGUUGGAGACAUAGGUCUGUUCACGUACAGUCUUUCAAUAUUAGUCUCGUACCAGAAAACUUUGUUUCAUUAGCAUUGUUGUUCUUAUGGGGUUGAAGGUUCCUUCAGCUCAUGUUAGCCUUUCUCAAAUUCUACCAAAAUGAGGUCCAUUUUCAGUUCACUGGUUUGCCACUAGCAUUCACUUCUUUAUUUGACAUGCUGUAGUUGUGUCUCUCAAAACAUAUCUAUAUCCGUUUUCUGGCAGAAUGCACUUCUUAGCUUCAUAAAUCUUAUCUAUUACUGGUGACUGAUACACACACACACACACACACACACACACACACACACACACACACUUUUGGUGCCUCCUACAACUAUUUGGUUAGGUGGAAUGUUAACAUGGAUUCUGCACAACUAGGUCAAGAAUGUACCAUUUACAAAUGACAAUGUUAUGUAGACUCUCUCCUGUACUUGAAGUUGAGGUUUCACUGUUCCUCUAGCUUUCUUCACCCUGCCAUCUUCCUGUUUCUUAUAUUGGCCUUAAGAAAGAAUCAUGGUAAAAUAUCUAAAACCUUCAAGUCUGGCAAUCAGAAUACAGGAAGGUAGAUUUUGUAGUACAGAUAUCAAAUGUGACUAGAGAACUGAAUUGUAUAGUCCAUGUGGUCCUUUGCUUUAUUGAUGUCUGGUAAUAUUAGGAUCAAAUAAGGAUUUGGGAGUUGAUCAUUUGACGUAUGUACACAACAUUUCCACUGUUUAGUCACUCUAUAGCUGGGCCAAGUUUGUUGUCGAAUUCAUUGCAAAAAAAAAUGGAAUUGUAAAAAUGAAAUUUUUGAGUACACAUGCAGGAAUAUAUAUAAUGUCUCCUGUCAAUUAAUGUACGAUCAGUAAAUGUAAAACAAUAUUCACUCGAUUAAAGUUCUGUGGGGAAAAUACUGGCAUAUGGAAAACUGACGAAACCUAGGGAAUUGAACUAUAUGUCACAAGAUUGGACCUGGGGAAAUAAUUAAUCUCCAGAAGAAUCUCCUUCACUCCUUGUUCCUAGAUAUUUUCUACCCAUGCCAAGCCCCUAAGAAACUAUCUCUAUUCAGAGCAUGUGUACCCACUAAUGAAGCAGAGAGAAGUCUCUAGUUUUAGAGAGAUGAAUAUGUAAAGGUUUCUACUGUGUCACAGGAGACACUCUUGGAAAUUGCACCUCCAGAUCUGGUCAAUGUAAAAAAAUCGUUUAACAGGUAGGCUAUGGCAAUUCUCAGUUACAUCAUCAUUAGGCCCUCCGUGUAAAAACUCUUGUAUCCUGGAGAGCCCUAACUUCUUCUGUGAUGUCACAAGUGUUGUGCUGACAGCAACAGACUCUUGGAUAUUCCUUCAGUACCUCCAGGGUUUCAUAAUUGGCCUUCAAUUCAGAAUAAAGAGCCAAUUGGGAGUGUAUUUGUAUAAAAAAAUAAAAAAAAAUACUUGGUCCAGUGGAAAGCUCAGUGAGCCCUGUUUAGGGGUUGACUUGGUUUGCUGAAGAGAUAGCCUUUAUCUGAAUCUUAUCAUAAGGGAAUCAGGAACUGAGGGCUUCCCAGAAGCAUCUGGACAUCCCUGCUUGUUAUGUUUCCUUGAUGUCAGAGAGUUAUAUCAUUCAUUUCUUUAUUCCAAAAUCCAGGUGUUGGAAAGGGCCCAGUUGUUCUGUGAGAGCUCAUGGCUUUUAGUUUUUCCCAGAAGAGAAAUGUCCUAAGGAAGAAGGGAAAGACAAGUAUUGUGUCCUCAGCUCAGAGUACAGUCCUCCUUGCUUUGGAUUCCUAUAGUGAAGUUUGGGUCUGACACUGAUAACUGGGAGAGAGAAGUGCUUCUAUUUGAGAUUUCAUCAUCUCAGUCUAUCCACUAGUAUUACUCUGCUUACCAUUCCCUGACAGUUGCCAUUUAGAUUUCUGAGUCAAUAGGUAUGAUUAGCUGGCAGUUAACUUUUCUUUUUUUCUGUCAUAUUUUUUAUUUUUUAAGCAAUUUUUAUUACUUUUCCUAAUUGGAUAUUUUUAUAUUUACAUUUCAAAUGUUAUUUUUUAUCCCAGGUUCCUGUCCAUGAGAUCCCUAAACAGUCACACUAACCUUCUUCUAUAACCCCCCUUACUGUACCUUGACAUUCCCUUGAAUUGGGAGGCAAACCUAGGGAGGAGCAAGGGCUUCUCCUUCCAUUGGGGCUCAACAAGACCAUACUCUGUUACCUAUGCAGUUGGAGCCAUAGGUCUGUCUAUGCCCAGUCUUUGAAUAUUGGUUUAGUACCAGAAAUCUCUACUUAGUUGAAUUGUUGUUCUUAUGGGGUUGAAAGUCCAUUCAGUUGUAAUCCUUUCUUAUCAUCUUAAAAAAAGAGGUCCAUUUUCAGUUCUUUGGUUUGCCACUAACAUUCACUUCUGUAUUUGACAUGCUGUAGCUGGUUCUCUCAUGAAUGAUCUAUAUCCAGUUCCUGGCAGUAUGAUCUUCUUAGCUUCAAUCAUCGUAUCUAGUUUUGGUGCCUGGUAUAUCUAUAUAUCUAUAUCUAUCUAUAUCUAUCUAUCUCUAUCUUUAUCUCUAUCUCUAUCUCUAUCUAUCUCUAUCUCUAUAUCUAAAUCUAUAUCAUCUAUAUCUAUACAUAUGUAUAUAUAUCAUCUAUAUCUAUAUCAUCUAUAUCUAUAUCUAUAUCUAUACCUAUUUCUAUAUAUAUCUAUACCUAUAUCUAUAUCUAUAUCUAACUAUCUAUCAUAUAUAUACUUUAUAUAUACUUUUAUACUUAUAUAUACUUUUGGUGGCUCCUACAACUACGAUUUUUGAUGGAAUAGUUACAUGGAUUGUGCCUAACUAGGUCAAGAAUAUAUGAUCCACAAAUGACAAUGCCAAAUAGACUCCCUCCUGUUCUCAUAACCUACUGAAGUUGAGGUUUCACUGGACCUCAAGCCAUUCCUCUUGCUGCCCAUCACCCAGAAAAUAAUGUUUGGCCUGAAGAAAGAAUCAUGGUAAAACAUCCAAAAUUCUCAAGUCUUUCCCUGGACAAACAGGAAGGUUGAUAUUAGAGAAAGGAUAUAUAAUAGAACUACAGAACCAAAUUCUAUAGUCCAUGCUGUCCUUUGCUUAACUGAUGUCUGGUAAUUUAUAGAUAAAAUAAGGAUUUGGGAGUUGAUCAUUUGAAGUAGGUACACUAUAUUUCCACUCUUAUAUUCACUCUACAAGUGGGCCCCAUUUGUUGACAAAUUCAUUGCAAAAAUGGAAUUGGAAAAAUGAAAUUUUUGAAUACACAUGCAGGAACAUAAAUGAUGCCCCCGGUCCAUGAAUUUCCAGUCAGAAAAUGUAGCACAAUAUUCACUCAAUUAAAGGUCUGUAGGGAAAAUAGUGGCAACGAGGAAACAGAUUAAACCUAGGGAAUUGAAAUUUAUGUCAGAAGGUUGGAAAUUGGAGUAAAUUAAAUCUUGAGUAGAAUCUCCUUCCUUCCUUGUUCCUAGAUCUUUUCUACCCAUGACAAACCCCUGAAUAACUUUCUUCAUUCAGAGCAUGUGAUCACUAAUGAAGAAGAGAGAAGUCUCCAGCUUUAGAGAGAUGUAGCAUGUAAAGAUUUCUACUGUGUCACAGGAAACACUCCUGGAGAGGGCACCUCCAAAUCUGGUCAAUGUAAGGAAAGCUGUUCAGCAGAUAGGCCAUGGCACUUCUCAGUGACAUCAUCAUUAGGCCCUCCAUGAAAAAUCUCUUGCUUCCUGGAGAACACCUGCUUCCUCUGUGACAUCACAAGGUUUAUCUUGACAGAAACUACCUCCCAGAUAUUCCUCCUAUAUAUCUAUGGUUUACUAUUUGGCCUCUAAUUCGGAGUAAAGAGCCAUUUGGAAUGGAGAACAGAUAGGAUGAAGAGAUCAGAGAUGGGGAGAAGGAAUCUGGCCUUCUGUCUUGAUAUAAAAUAAAAGAAGAAAUAUGUGGUUCUUGGGAAAAUACCCUGGGAAGAUGACUCUAGUUAUGUUGUUCUCUAGGUGCACCGAGCUCUUGGAGAAGUUGCUGAACAUCCUAAAGACUUUUGGGCAGAUGGAAAAGGGCUUGUCUGUCAAAUGCUUUUCAAUCGCCAAGAAGUUUGAGGUACCUGGAGAAUGCUUCCUCCUGUUCAUCCUCAUCCUGCUCUCAUGGCCUUUGUUAUCUGCACCAGUCCAUCUCUACACACCCCCAUGUACAUUUUUCUGAUGAACUUACGUAUCCUGAAAUUUGGUUACACUAGUUCUGUCAUACACAAUAUAUGGAGAGACUUGAAAGUGAGAUCUGAGGAAUCUCUCAGGAGGGAUGUGCCACACAGACGUUUUUCUUCACACUUUUUGUAUAAUUCAGUGCUGCCUAUUGCCAGCCAUGGCCUUUGUCCACUGUAUGGCCCUGCUUCAUUCUGCAGCCCAAAUGAGUAGUGAGGUAUGUUCCCACAUGGCAAGUGUUUCACGGGGAAUAGGUUGCCUUGUAGGGUUGGGAAAAAACUACUUGAGAUCCAAAUCUAACCACACACAAGGAGUUGAAAAAUUAUUGGUCAUCUUCCAUACCACAGUGAUAUCCAUGCUGAACCCAUCAUCUUUGCUUAAAGUAUGAAGAAGUCAAGACAGGACUGAAAAGAACUCUGGGUCUGAAGAAAGUUCUGAUAAUAAAUAGAUAAUUAAGGAUCCCAAAGUGAUCUUUCAAAAAGGUGCAAAGUCUGUGAAAGAAAGAAAAAAAAUAAUAACUGUGUGUUUUCUUGCUGUCUUGAAACAAACUUUAAGAAACAUACCUUUCUUUAAAGUGUUCUCUUUAUUCACCACCAUGCUUAAUUGCAAACAAUUGUAAAGUAUGCUUGCUACUAAAUUACUUUAGUAGAUUAAUCCAGUACUUAAGUGGUUUCCUCUGGACAGAGUUUAAACCACAUGUUAAUGUCUCUGGGUCUUGAAAAUUCUCUGUAUCCAUUCUUAGCUAUUUGGAAAUCUUUCAGAAAUUGUUUGUACAUGAUCUCAGCUCGUUAUGAUACAAUUCCAUAUUCUUCAGUACAUGUAAAUUCUUUGCAUUGGAUGGAACUGCUAAUUAGUUCUCAGGAGAGUGAAUUGUUAACCCCUGCUUUGUGUACCAUUUGAUCAGUCCAUACUUCAGUUCUGGUCACCCAGUGUCUAUUAUUUUGGAACAGGAGUAGUCUUUCCUCCACUUUUUGAUUUCUAAAAGGGCUGUGGAAAAGAAUUUCAGCCAGGUGAUUCCCAACAUCAGUAUCAUAGUUUCAUAUAAACACACACACACACGUACACACACACACACACAGACACACACACACACGCACACACACACAUACACACAUGCACAAACACACACACACCCACACACACACAAAUAUGCAUUCACAUACAGGAACUGAAGUGAGUUUACAAGUGACCGAAUAUAAAAAUAAAAGUCAGCUAGAGUUAUAUAAUUAGAUUCAGGUUGCUAUUCAACAGGAAAAUAAAAUAAUAUACAAUUAGAAUCUUGAGUCUUUAUGAGUAUAAUGAAACAAAAAUAAAAUUCCAUUUAAGUGUGCUGAAAAUAUUGAAGACAUUGACAAAUUACCAUGACACCAAAACUACAGUAUUGUUUUAGGCAUGAGUCACCCAUACAGAAAGACAGUAAUUAUAUUCUCUUCAGACUCAUUGUUCUGAGUUUUCUUACAUGGAGUAAGGAUCAUUCAGGUCAAAAUGUUGGUGAAAAAAUGACAGAGAUGCUGAAAACCAAUCCUAAAGUUUUGAAGAGACACACAGUCUUUCCAUAGGCUUUAAGUGAUUCUCCCAUAACUUCUAUUACUUUAAAAGAAAUACAAAAGAAAAUACAUUAAAAUAUUUUAAAUAUGAAAGGAAAAUAAUUUAAAAUAAUUUCAUUGCUCCAUAUUUGGUUCUUGUUAAGAUGACAGAUAUCCUCCUAAUGCUUACCUGCAAUAAGCGAAGCAAGAAACACUUUGUGGUAUCUGUGUCAAGUACAUAUAAUCUCAACCUAAAAGAGGAAAACCACUGGGCAAAUCCAAAUUCAGAGACAUUCUUGCAAGGAACUGCUCUUCUGUUUUUAUACUUUUUGUUGUACAUAUGCUUGUUCACAUGUGCAACACAUGCAUGCCUACUGUCCAGGAGGUUGAAGAAGGUGUGAGGUUCCGUGAUGCUGAAAUUACAGCCACUUGUGAGCUGUCAACAGGUUCUCUGGAAGAACAGAUAAUGCUAUUAAUCACCGAAUCAUUCAUUCAUCUGCAGCAAACACCAUUUUUUGUAAAU